GACGAACGCUGGCGGCGUGCUUAACACAUGCAAGUCGAACGGAAAGGCCCUGCUUUUGUGGGGUGCUCGAGUGGCGAACGGGUGAGUAACACGUGAGUAACCUGCCCUUCACUUUGGGAUAACUUCGGGAAACUGGGGCUAAUACCGGAUAGGAGCUCCUGCUGCAUGGUGGGGGUUGGAAAGUUUCGGCGGUUGGGGAUGGACUCGCGGCUUAUCAGCUUGUUGGUGGGGUAGUGGCUUACCAAGGCGUUGACGGGUAGCCGGCCUGAGAGGGUGACCGGCCACAUUGGGACUGAGACACGGCCCAGACUCCUACGGGAGGCAGCAGUGGGGAAUAUUGCACAAUGGGUGGAAGCCUGAUGCAGCAACGCCGCGUGCGGGAUGACGGCCUUCGGGUUGUAAACCGCUUUCGCCUGUGACGAAGGGUGAGUGACGGUAAUUGGUAAAGAAGCACCGGCUAACUACGUG
rnacentral:rRNA from 1 species